GAAAGCAAAGAAGGGCAUAUGGAGGAUGCCUAGGCUCUCGAAGGCGAAGAAGGACGUGAUAAGCUGCGAAAAGCUCCGGGGAGUGGCAAAUACACCGAGAUCCGGAGAUAUCCGAAUGGGGCAACCCAUCGAGGCUCGACCUCGACACACGCGAACGCGUGGGCGAACGUGGGGAACUGAAACAUCUAAGUACCCAUAGGAAGAGAAAAUAACAAUGAUUCCGCAAGUAGUGGCGAGCGAACGCGGAAGAGCCCAAACCGCAGGCGUCGCAAGGCGCUGUGCGGGGUUAUAGGACCGGCGCCACGAAGAACUGAAAGCUAGCCGAACCGACUGGAAAGUCGGGCCGCAGCGGGUGACAGCCCCGUAGGCGAAAGCGUUCAGCGAUUCCAGCCGGCACCUGAGUAACCCGGAGCACGAGGAAUUCCGGGCGAAUUAGCGGGGACCAUCCCGUAAGGCUAAAUACUAACGAGAGACCGAUAGCGAACCAGUACCGUGAGGGAAAGGUGAAAAGAACCUCGAACAGAGGAGUGCAACAGACCCUGAAACCAUAUGCCUACAAGCGGUCGGAGCGGCUUAGUGCCGUGACGGCGUGCCUUUUGCAUAAUGAACCUACGAGUCACCGUCGUUGGCAAGGUUAAGGACAAUGAUGUCCGGAGCCGAAGCGAAAGCGAGUCCGAAGAGGGCGCCGGAGUCAGCGGAGGUGGACGCGAAACCAAGUGAUCUACCCUUGGGCAGGUUGAAGGACAGGUAAAACUGUCUGGAGGACCGAACCGGUAAGCGUUGAAAAGCUUUCGGAUGACCUGAGGGUAGGAGUGAAAGGCCAAUCAAACUUGGAGAUAGCUCGUACUCCCCGAAAUGUAUUUAGGUGCAGCCUCGGAGAGAAUCUGACGGAGGUAGAGCGACUGAUAGGAUGCGAGGGCUUCACCGCCUAUCAAGUCCUGACAAACUCCGAAUGCCGUCAGACAUAUCCGGGAGUAAGGGCGCGGGUGCUAAGGUCCGCGUCCGAGAGAGGAACAACUCAGACCAUCGGCUAAGGUCCCGAAAUCCGGGCUAAGUUGAAGACAAUAACGAGGUGGGAUUGCAUAGACAGCUAGGAUGUUGGCUUGGAAGCAGCCAUUCAUUUAAAGAGUGCGUAACAGCUCACUAGUCGAGUGAUCCCGCGUGGAUAAUAAUCGGGCAUAAGUCCGGUACCGAAGCCAUGGAAUCACGCCUAGGGCGUGAUUGGUAGGGGAGCAUUCCGUACGGCGGCGAAGGUCGGUGGCGAUGCCGGCUGGAGCGUACGGAAAAGCAAAUGUAGGUAUAAGUAACGAUAAUGGAGGCGAGAAACCUCCACGCCGAAAGACCAAGGUUUCCUGAUCAACGCUAAUCGGAUCAGGGUAAGUCGGGACCUAAGGGGCAGCCGCGAGGCGGACCCGAUGGAAGAAACGGUAAAGAUUCCGUUACUGUCGCCGGGAGUGAAGCGGGGACGGAGGAGUGACACCGCCGCGGACUGACGGAAUAGUCCGUUGAAGAGUGUAGGUAUUCGGAGGCCAGGCAAAUCCGGUCUCCGAGCUGAACUUGACAGUACUGCGAGCCUUCGGGCAAGCAGACAGCGCGGGUAAGCAGACUCCCAAGAAAAUCCGCUAAACAUAUGUCGGCGACACCCGUACCGAAACGGACACACGUGGUCGGGUAGAACAUACUAAGGCGCUCGAGAGAUUCACCGUUAAGGAACUAGGCAAAUUGACCUCGUAACUUCGGGAUAAGGGGUCCCACACCGAUGUGGGCGCAGAGAAUAGGUCCAGGCAACUGUUUAACAAAAACACAGGGCUGUGCGAAAUUUAAAGAUGAAGUAUACAGCCUGACACCUGCCCGGUGCCGGAAGGUUAAGAGGAGAAGUCAUCGCAAGAGAAGCUUUGAAUUGAAGCCCCGGUAAACGGCGGCCGUAACUAUAACGGUCCUAAGGUAGCGAAAUUCCUUGUCGGGUAAGUUCCGACCUGCACGAAUGGUGUAAUGAUCUGGACACUGUCUCAACCGUGAGCUCGGUGAAAUUGUAGUAUCGGUGAAGAUGCCGAUUACCCGCAACGGGACGAAAAGACCCCGUGAACCUUUACUGCAGCUUAGCAUUGGGACCGGGUGCGUGAUGUGUAGGAUAGUCCGGAGACAGCGAUGCGGGGGCGCCAGCCCUCGCGGAGUCGACGUUGAAAUACGGACCUUUGCGCAUCUGGUCUCUAACUCGCGGAAAGCGAGGACACUGCUUGGUGGGUAGUUUGACUGGGGUGGUCGCCUCCAAAAGAGUAACGGAGGCUUCUA
rnacentral:rRNA from 1 species